rnacentral:misc_RNA from 1 species
UCAGCGGGUAACCUCGUCUGACAUGAAAUCAAGUUUAUGAGUACGUUUGGCUCGGGGCUUCCGACUCCCUUCAGAGGCGUGUCCACUACUCUGCGGGUGAAGGAUCCACGGCCGACACUUUGCGGGCGGCGGUCAUGCUACUGACCGUCCCCAUCACCGAACCGAGUUCGAGUGGAUAAAUGAUGUUCACACAGACGUGCCCGCCGGAAUACCAGGGGGCGCAAUGUGCGUUCAAAGAUUCGAUGAUUCACGGAAUUCUGCAAUUCACAUUACUUAUCGCAUUUCGCUGCGUUCUUCAUCGAUGCGAGAACCA